GAUGAAGAACGCAGCAAAAUGCGAUAAGUAAUGUGAAUUGCAGAAUUCAGUGAAUCAUCGAAUCUUUGAACGCACAUUGCGCCCGCCAGUAUUCUGGCGGGCAUGCCUGUUCGAGCGUCAUUUCAACCCUCAAGCACAGCUUGGUGUUGGGACUCGCGUUAAUUCGCGUUCCUCAAGUUGAUUGGCGGUCACGUCGAGCUUCCAUAGCGUAGUAGUAAAACCCUCGUUACUGGUAAUCGUCGCGGCCACGCCGUUAAACCCCAACUUCUGAAUGUUGACCUCGGAUCAGGUAGGAAUACCCGCUGAACUUAAGCAUAUCAAUAAGCGGAGGA
rnacentral:misc_RNA from 1 species